AAUCAACGCUGGCGGCGUGCCUCAGACAUGCAAGUCGAACGAUUAAAGCUCUCUUCGGAGAGUGUAUAAAGUGGCGCACGGGUGAGUAACACGUAAGUAAUCUACCCUCGAGUGGGGAAUAACGUCCGGAAACGGACGCUAAUACCGCAUAAUGCAGCGGCACCGCAAGGUGACAGUUGUUAAAGAUUUAUCGCUUGAGGAGGAGCUUGCGGCAGAUUAGCUAGUUGGUAAGGUAACGGCUUACCAAGGCUACGAUCUGUAACCGGUCUAAGAGGACGGUCGGUCACACUGACACUGAAUAACGGGUCAGACUCCUACGGGAGGCAGCAGUCGGGAAUUUUGGGCAAUGGGCGAAAGCCUGACCCAGCAACGCCGCGUGAAGGAUGAAGUAUUUCGGUAUGUAAACUUCGAAAGAAUAGGAAGAAUUAAUGACGGUACUAUUUAUAAGGUCCGGCUAACUACGUGCCAGCCGCCGCUGUAACAC
rnacentral:rRNA from 1 species